GAUGAAGAACGUAGCGAAAUGCGAUAAGUAAUGUGAAUUGCAGAAUUCAGUGAAUCAUCGAAUCUUUGAACGCACAUUGCGCCCCUUGGUAUUCCGGGGGGCAUGCCUGUUCGAGCGUCAUUAUAACCCCCAAGCCUAGCUUGGUGUUGGAGCAUGCUACCUAAGCAGCUCUUAAAAUCAGUGGCAGUGCCCUUCGGCUCUAAGCGUAGUAACUUCUCUCGCUAUGGAACCCGGAGGGUACGCGCCAGAACCCCCAACUUUCUAUGGUUGACCUCGGAUCAGGUAGGGAUACCCGCUGAACUUAAGCAUAUCAAUAAGCGGAGGA
rnacentral:misc_RNA from 1 species